AGGGAGCUUGCUCCGCUGACGACCGGCGCACGGGUGCGUAACGCGUAUAGAAUCUGCCUUACACUGAGGGAUAGCCUUUGGAAACGAAGAUUAAUACCUCAUAGUAUCAUUUUAUGGCAUCAUAGAGUGAUUAAAGGUUACGGUGUAAGAUGACUAUGCGUCCUAUUAGCUUGUUGGUAAGGUAACGGCUUACCAAGGCUACGAUAGGUAGGGGCCCUGAGAGGGGGAUCCCCCACACUGGUACUGAGACACGGACCAGACUCCUACGGGAGGCAGCAGUGAGGAAUAUUGGACAAUGGAGGCAACUCUGAUCCAGCCAUGCCGCGUGAAGGAUGACUGCCCUAUGGGUUGUAAACUUCUUUUAUACAGGAAGAAACCGUUCCACGUGUGGGACUUUGACGGUACUGUAUGAAUAAGCACCGGCUAACUCCGUGCCAGCAGCCGCGGUAAUACGGAGGGUGCAAGCGUUAUCCGGAAUCAUUGGGUUUAAAGGGUCCGUAGGCGGACUAAUAAGUCAGAGGUGAAAUCCCGCAGCUCAACUGUGGAACUGCCUUUGAAACUGUUAGUCUUGAGUUAUUGUGAAGUGGUUAGAAUAUGUAGUGUAGCCGUGAAAUGCUUAGAGAUUACAUGGAAUACCGAUUGCGAAGGCAGAUCACUAACAAUAUACUGACGCUGAUGGACGAAAGCGUGGGGAGCGAGCAGGA
rnacentral:rRNA from 1 species